UACAGAGGGAGCAAGCGUUGUUCGGAAUGACUGGGCGUAAAGGGUGCGUAGGUGGUACCUUAAGUAAAACGUUAAAGCCUUGGGCUCAACCCAAGAAUCGCGUUUUAAACUGGGGCACUUGAGUAUGGAAGAGGAAAGUGGAAUUCCUAGUGUAGAGGUGAAAUUCGUAGAUAUUAGGAAGAACACCAGAGGCGAAGGCGGCUUUCUGGUCCAUUACUGACACUGAGGCACGAAAGCGUGGGGAGCAAACAGG
rnacentral:rRNA from 1 species